GUGCUUGCUUCCGCAGCACAUGUACUAAAACUGGAACGAUACAGAGAAGAUUAGCAUGGCCCCUGCGCCAGGAUGACAAGCAAAUUCGUGAAGCGUUCCAUAUUUUU
ensembl:snRNA U6 U6 spliceosomal RNA